GGAAAAUAGGGUCUGGAGGCAGGGAACAUAAGGCCAAUUCACACUUCAGCUAAGACAGGAAAUAUCCUCUCCAUAGGGCGUAGGCCAAGUAAAUGACUUUGUAACUUUACUUCAUCCUCUGCUUUUACAUAGGGUGUACACCAAGUAACUAAUGGGAUCCUCUUAGGGGGUAUUUAAACUCCCCCAGAUUUUGUAAUGGAGCUGUUGAGCCCCUAUGCUCAGGCCCACUCCCACACUGUGGAGUGUACCUUCAUUUUCAAUUAAUCACUUCAUUCCUUUCUUGCUUUAUGUGUUUUGUCCAAUUCUUUGUUCAAGAUGCCAAGGAACUGGACACCCUUCUACUAUUAACAUAUUUUAGUAAUCCAGCCAGGAGGAAGAGCAGGUAGACACAAAAAGCGGCUGAGCAUUGUGAGGAACACGUCGGCAGAGGAAGAUACAAGCCACUGGUCAUCGAGGGCACACUGGCAGAAGAGCACGCCAACAGGCACUAGCAGGUCGACAAGCCGGGCCAUAGACUGGUGGAAUGACGCGAAGUUUUCCAGGGGAAAACCAUCUCCCUUCUGGCUCCCCCAUCUGCUAAGAGUUACUUCUACUCAAUAAGACCUUGUACUCAUUCUCUAAGCCCGUGUGUGCUCCAAUUCUCCUGGUACACCAAGCACCGGCACCACCCCUGGAGUUCUGUACGUCAGCAUCAGCCUGAAGAUCAAGUCCUCAUCAAACGUUUAUCUUCACAGAAAGGUUUCUUCAGCACAUGUCCAAGAACCCAGAAAUGGUCUCAGGAGGGCUUAGCAUUUAACACAUGGGGCGUGACUUCAACUAAGCUUGG
rnacentral:lncRNA from 10 species